rnacentral:rRNA from 1 species
AUAUUGCACAAUGGGCGAAAGCCUGAUCCAGCCAUGCCGCGUGUGUGAAGAAGGUCUUCGGAUCGUAAAGCACUUUAAGUUGGGAGGAAGGGCUGUCGGUUACUACCCUGCCAGUUUGACGGUACCAACAGAAUAAGCACCGGCUAACUUCGUGCCAGCAGCCGCGGUAAUCCGAAGGGUGCAAGCGUUAAUCGGAAUUACUGGGCGUAAACCGCGCGUAGGUGGUUCGUUAAGUUGGAAGUGAAAGCCCCGGGCUCAACCUGGGAACUGCUUUCAAAACUGGCAAGCUAGAGUAUGGCAGAGGGUGGUGGAAUUUCCUGUGUAGCGGUGAAAUUCGUAGAUAUCGGGAGGAACACCAGUGGCGAAGGCGGCCACCUGGACGAACACUGACGCUGAGGCGCGAAAGCGUGGGGAGCAAAC